rnacentral:rRNA from 1 species
CCUACGGGGGGCUGCAGUGGGGAAUAUUGGACAAUGGGGGGAACCCUGAUCCAGCCAUGCCGCGUGUGUGAAGAAGGCCCUCGGGUUGUAAAGCACUUUCAGUGAGGAAGAACGCCUGGUGGUUAAUACCCAUCAGGAAAGACAUCACUCACAGAAGAAGCACCGGCUAACUCCGUGCCAGCAGCCGCGGUAAUACGGAGGGUGCGAGCGUUAAUCGGAAUUACUGGGCGUAAAGCGCGCGUAGGUGGCUUGAUAAGCCGGUUGUGAAAGCCCCGGGCUCAACCUGGGAACGGCAUCCGGAACUGUCAAGCUAGAGUGCAGGAGAGGAAGGUAGAAUUCCCGGUGUAGCGGUGAAAUGCGUAGAGAUCGGGAGGAAUACCAGUGGCGAAGGCGGCCUUCUGGACUGACACUGACACUGAGGUGCGAAAGCGUGGGUAGCAAACAGGAUUAGAUACCCUAGUAGUUC